rnacentral:rRNA from 1 species
CUCGUAGGCGGUUUGUCGCGUCGGGAGUGAAAUCCACUGGCUUAACUGGUGGCUUGCUUUCGAUACGGGCAGACUGGAGGUAUGCAGGGGAGAACGGAAUUCCUGGUGUAGCGGUGAAAUGCGCAGAUAUCAGGAGGAACACCGGUGGCGAAGGCGGUUCUCUGGGCAUGUCCUGACGCUGAGGAGCGAAAGUGUGGGGGAGCGAACA